AUCAUUACCGAGUGAGCGCCUCCGGGCGCGACCUCCAACCCCAUGUUGUCCAACCAUGUUGCCUCGGGGGUGACCCGGUCUUUUUGGCUGCGUCCCCCCGGUGGACCCCUCAACUCUGCAUCUUUGCGUCGGAGUCAAUGAUAAAUCAAUCAAAACUUUCAACAACGGAUCUCUUGGUUCUGGCAUCGAUGAAGAACGCAGCGAAAUGCGAUAAGUAAUGUGAAUUGCAGAAUUCAGUGAAUCAUCGAAUCUUUGAACGCACAUUGCGCCCCUUGGUAUUCCGAGGGGCAUGCCUGUUCGAGCGUCAUUUCACCACUCAAGCCUCGCUUGGUAUUGGGCGCCGCGGUCUGCCGCGCGCCCCAAUGUCUUCGGCUCAGCCUAACGUCCUCGAAGCGAUUUGAUUACACAAUCCCGCUAGGAGCACGGAGGGCGCGACGCCGCUAAACACCCCAUCUCAGGUUGACCUCGGAUCAGG
rnacentral:rRNA from 1 species